GACCGGAUAGAAUGAAGUAUACAAUUUACUCUCAAGAACCAGUAGAAGAAUAAUGUAGUAAUUCCUUCUGUCCUCAUAGCUCUGGAUCAUCCUAGGAUAUGGUUCAACUGUCAAAUCCUAAUAGGCGAUUAACUAUGUGUUCACGUCAAAUAUGAUCGACCACUGAAUGACCUAUGAAACUCAUUUCUUCUUUCAUUCACUUUCCCUGGCCAAGGUCUUAGUUUGGUCAUUUAUAAUUCAUGACAACAUGGAGCUUAAACUCAUUACCAAGAGUUGACAGAUUCCGUCUUGAUCAAUCACUAAUUCUACAAGUAUUCAAUCGUAACCAAUAUCCUUUCAAC
rnacentral:lncRNA from 1 species